rnacentral:misc_RNA from 1 species
GGGCCCCAGACGCGCCGG